GGUUAAGCGACUAAGCGUACACGGUGGAUGCCCUGGCAGUCAGAGGCGAUGAAGGACGUGCUAAUCUGCGAAAAGCGUCGGUAAGGUGAUAUGAACCGUUACAGCCGGCGAUGUCCGAAUGGGGAAACCCAGUGUGAUUCGUCACACUAUCGUUAACUGAAUACAUAGGUUAACGAGGCGAACCGGGGGAACUGAAACAUCUAAGUACCCCGAGGAAAAGAAAUCAACCGAGAUUCCCCCAGUAGCGGCGAGCGAACGGGGAGCAGCCCAGAGUCUGAAUCAGCUUGUGUGUUAGUGGAACGGUCUGGAAAGUCCGACGGUACAGGGUGAUAGUCCCGUACACCAAAAUGCACAGGCUGUGAACUCGAAGAGUAGGGCGGGACACGUGGUAUCCUGUCUGAAUAUGGGGGGACCAUCCUCCAAGGCUAAAUACUCCUGACUGACCGAUAGUGAACCAGUACCGUGAGGGAAAGGCGAAAAGAACCCCGGCGAGGGGAGUGAAAAAGAACCUGAAACCGUGUACGUACAAGCAGUGGGAGCACCUUUAUGGUGUGACUGCGUACCUUUUGUAUAAUGGGUCAGCGACUUAUAUUCUGUAGCAAGGUUAACCGUAUAGGGGAGCCGCAGGGAAACCGAGUCUUAACUGGGCGUUAAGUUGCAGGGUAUAGACCCGAAACCCGGUGAUCUAGCCAUGGGCAGGUUGAAGGUUGGGUAACACUAACUGGAGGACCGAACCGACUAAUGUUGAAAAAUUAGCGGAUGACUUGUGGCUGGGGGUGAAAGGCCAAUCAAACCGGGAGAUAGCUGGUUCUCCCCGAAAGCUAUUUAGGUAGCGCCUCGUGAACUCAUCUUCGGGGGUAGAGCACUGUUUCGGCUAGGGGGUCAUCCCGACUUACCAACCCGAUGCAAACUACGAAUACCGAAGAAUGUUAUCACGGGAGACACACGGCGGGUGCUAACGUCCGUCGUGAAGAGGGAAACAACCCAGACCGCCAGCUAAGGUCCCAAAGUCACAGUUAAGUGGGAAACGAUGUGGGAAGGCACAGACAGCCAGGAUGUUGGCUUAGAAGCAGCCAUCAUUUAAAGAAAGCGUAAUAGCUCACUGGUCGAGUCGGCCUGCGCGGAAGAUGUAACGGGGCUAAACUGUGCACCGAAGCUGCGGCAGCGACACUAUGUGUUGUUGGGUAGGGGAGCGUUCUGUAAGCCUGCGAAGGUGGCCUGUGAGGGUUGCUGGAGGUAUCAGAAGUGCGAAUGCUGACAUAAGUAACGAUAAUGCGGGUGAAAAGCCCGCACGCCGGAAGACCAAGGGUUCCUGUCCAACGUUAAUCGGGGCAGGGUGAGUCGACCCCUAAGGCGAGGCCGAAAGGCGUAGUCGAUGGGAAACAGGUUAAUAUUCCUGUACUUGGUGUUACUGCGAAGGGGGGACGGAGAAGGCUAUGUUAGCCGGGCGACGGUUGUCCCGGUUUAAGCAUGUAGGCGGAGGUUCCAGGUAAAUCCGGUACCUUUUAACGCUGAGGUGUGAUGACGAGGCACUACGGUGCUGAAGUAACAAAUGCCCUGCUUCCAGGAAAAGCCUCUAAGCAUCAGGUAACAUUGAAUCGUACCCCAAACCGACACAGGUGGUCAGGUAGAGAAUACCAAGGCGCUUGAGAGAACUCGGGUGAAGGAACUAGGCAAAAUGGUGCCGUAACUUCGGGAGAAGGCACGCUGAUAUGUAGGUGAAGCCCCUGCGGGUGGAGCUGAAAUCAGUCGAAGAUACCAGCUGGCUGCAACUGUUUAUUAAAAACACAGCACUGUGCAAACACGAAAGUGGACGUAUACGGUGUGACGCCUGCCCGGUGCCGGAAGGUUAAUUGAUGGGGUUAUCCGUAAGGAGAAGCUCUUGAUCGAAGCCCCGGUAAACGGCGGCCGUAACUAUAACGGUCCUAAGGUAGCGAAAUUCCUUGUCGGGUAAGUUCCGACCUGCACGAAUGGCGUAAUGAUGGCCAGGCUGUCUCCACCCGAGACUCAGUGAAAUUGAACUCGCUGUGAAGAUGCAGUGUACCCGCGGCAAGACGGAAAGACCCCGUGAACCUUUACUAUAGCUUGACACUGAACAUUGAGCCUUGAUGUGUAGGAUAGGUGGGAGGCUUUGAAGCGUGGACGCCAGUCUGCGUGGAGCCAACCUUGAAAUACCACCCUUUAAUGUUUGAUGUUCUAACGUUGGCCCCUAAUCGGGGUUGCGGACAGUGUCUGGUGGGUAGUUUGACUGGGGCGGUCUCCUCCCAAAGAGUAACGGAGGAGCACGAAGGUUAGCUAAUCCUGGUCGGACAUCAGGAGGUUAGUGCAAUGGCAUAAGCUAGCUUGACUGCGAGCGUGACGGCGCGAGCAGGUGCGAAAGCAGGUCAUAGUGAUCCGGUGGUUCUGAAUGGAAGGGCCAUCGCUCAACGGAUAAAAGGUACUCCGGGGAUAACAGGCUGAUACCGCCCAAGAGUUCAUAUCGACGGCGGUGUUUGGCACCUCGAUGUCGGCUCAUCACAUCCUGGGGCUGAAGUAGGUCCCAAGGGUAUGGCUGUUCGCCAUUUAAAGUGGUACGCGAGCUGGGUUUAGAACGUCGUGAGACAGUUCGGUCCCUAUCUGCCGUGGGCGCUGGAGAAUUGAGGGGGGCUGCUCCUAGUACGAGAGGACCGGAGUGGACGCAUCACUGGUGUUCGGGUUGUCAUGCCAAUGGCAUUGCCCGGUAGCUAAAUGCGGAAGAGAUAAGUGCUGAAAGCAUCUAAGCACGAAACUUGCCCCGAGAUGAGUUCUCCCUGAGACUUUAAGUCUCCUGAAGGAACGUUAAAGACGAUGACGUUGAUAGGUCGGGUGUGUAAGCGUAGCGAUACGUUGAGCUAACCGAUACUAAUGAACCGUGAGGCUUAACCUUACAACGCCGAAGGUGUUUUG
rnacentral:rRNA from 1 species